UACGGGGGGGGCAAGCGUUGUUCGGAAUUACUGGGCGUAAAGGGCUUGUAGGUGGCCAACUAAGUCAGACGUGAAAUCCCUCGGCUUAACCGGGGAACUGCGUCUGAUACUGGAUGGCUGGAGUGUGGGAGAGGGAUGCGGAAUUCCAGGUGUAGCGGUGAAAUGCGUAGAUAUCUGGAGGAACACCGGUGGCGAAGGCGGCAUCCUGGACCAAUAUUGACGCUGAGGAGCGAAAGCCAGGGGAGCAAACGGG
rnacentral:rRNA from 1 species